rnacentral:tRNA from 10 species
GAAUCCUUCCGUCCCAG